CACUUAUGGUCUUCAAAAAUAACGAUUGCGGGAUGACGGACAGGAAGACUUCAAACGUAACAGUGUGAACUAGCUGUCAGAAACUUAAGUACUCUCAGAUCCUUUCUUGCUAUUGUCGUUUUGUUCUUCUGGUAAACAAGUGAUUCUUUCAUUGUUGAAGACUCUCUAGCGACUAUAAAGAUGAACAGGAAUAAAACGCUGACCAUUGAUAAUUUGUAUUUUUGUUAAGCUCUGACUUUGUGUUCGAUAAGGUCCCGUGGACUUUUACUCCAUAUUCCUUUAUUUUCUAUAAAGGCGUCUGUCUUGACAGUAAGUUGACACGACUUAAUACAAGUUAAACCCUUAAAUGUAAGACACCAGAUGGAAAUACUCAAAAAGGAGAGCCAGUUUGGUAUUCUGUAAUGUUAGAGUUCAAUUCUUCAUGAAGAAACGACUAUAUGUUUUCUGUAUUCAGCAUAGAAUCAUAUCUUCUAAACUAUAUUUUUUCGCACAAUGUCUGGAUAUUGGUGGACAUGCAUCAUUGCGAAACCAGACAUUUACAAAUGAAAAUUAAUACUUAUACUAUAGCCAUUUAGUAGGAAAGUAAAUGCACAAAAGACAAGUAAUUCAGAAACAUGCAUGGAUCACGCAAAAUUAUGCAGGGGCGACACCGGAGUAAUGGGAGUUUGCUUCUUGCAAGACAUUCGCCGUGAAAACAAUUUGAUAUGAAGACAAGCCUUUGUUUCAACUUUGUUUUAAAAUUUCAAACAUGAGGCUGUUACGGCCCAGGUCAAUGUUCUUAAGCAACACAUAUUUUCCUUUCAUUUUGCUGUUAGCUUUCUGAUAUAAAUUUU
rnacentral:lncRNA from 1 species